rnacentral:rRNA from 1 species
UACGGGGGGGGCAAGCGUUGUUCGGAAUUACUGGGCGUAAAGGGCUCGUAGGUGGCCAACUAAGUCAGACGUGAAAUCCCUCGGCUUAACCGGGGAACUGCAUCUGAUACUGGAUGGCUUGAGAUUGGGAGAGGGAUGCGGAAUUCCAGGUGUAGCGGUGAAAUGCGUAGAGAUCCGGAGGAACACCAGUGGCGAAGGCGACACGCUGGGCCGUACCUGACGCUAAGACGCGACAGCAUGGGGAGCGAACGGG